GUGGCUGUGGCGAAGCGGUUAACGCACCGGAUUGUGGCUCCGGCACUCGUGGGUUCAAGUCCCAUCAGCCACCCCA
rnacentral:tRNA from 1 species